UGGGUGGGUGGGUGGAUGCAUGGAUAGAUGGAUGGAUGAGUGGAUGGGUGGAUGGGUGGACGGAUGGGUGGAUGGAAAUAGCAUCUGCCUUUUGUACUUGGUUAGAUUAUAUCAGUUCUCUAGCCUAGCUUUCCCUGUGGUUUUCCUAUCUUCUCUGAAGUCACAGACUUUGUUUUCUGUUUUAGACCAGGUCUCACUGUGUAGCCCAGGCUGGCCUUAAACUCACAGAGAUCUCAAGCCUCUGCCUCCCCAGUACUGGGGUUAAAGGUGUGCUCCACCAUGUCCAGCCAUGGAGCCAGAGCCUUUAUGGUACCUACAGGGUGCCUACUUGUUCUCCUGUCCGCUGACCUCUCUACCCUCUUCCUCACCCUCUGCUCUAGUGGCCUCUUUUUUUCCUGCUUGGAACACAUCAUGGCCUCAAGCUGUGCUCUAUUUCCUCGUUCAAGGACACUCUCCCUUCAGAGACUGGGAUGUUUCCCUCCCAAACCUCCUUCAGGUUUUCACUCAGUCAGCAGCUUCUCUAUGAGGCCUUCCAUGAUCCUUCUACAUCACUUCCCACCAUGCAAUGCCUCAGUCUCUCAGCCUUUCCACUCACCUUUAUCUGAUAUUCUACAUCCUACAUGUGUAUGGGUGUGUGUGUGUGUGUGUGUGUGUGUGUGUGUGUGUGUGUGUGUGUGUGUGUGUUUCACCAGCAUGCAGUUCCUGCAGUGGCCAGAAGAGGGUGUCAGAUCCCCUGAGACUGGAAUAGCAGAGUUGUGAGCUGCCAUGUUGGUGCUGGGGAUGGAACAGGGUCCUCUGGAAGAGCAGUCAGUGCUCUUAACCACAGAGCUAUCACUCCAGCCCCUAAUUUAUCUUCUUUAAAAAAUUUUUAUAUGUAUGUAUGUAUAUGUAGCAUAUGUACAUGUUUGUGCAUGUGUGUGUGUAUCUGUGUCUGUGUCCGUGUGUGUGUGCACACACUGAUGCAUGUGCUCUUGGAGGUCAACAUCUGCUGUCUUCCUUGAUAGCAUUCCACUUUAUUUUUUAUUUUAUUUAUUUUUUUGAGACAAGGGUUCUCACUGUACUUGGACCUCACUGUUCGGCUAGGCUGUGUGGCCAAUGAAUUCUAGGAAUCCUCCUGCCAUUAUCCACACAGACACGAACAUAAACACAUAAAUAUGAAGCUUCUAUUGAAAAGAUGCCUCCAUAAGAUCAGGCCGUAGGCAAGCACCCCUCCAUGGCCCCUGCAUCUGCUCCUGCCUCCAGGUUCCUGCCCUGCUUGAAUUCCUGCCCUGACUUCCUUCAGUGAGGAACAGUGAUGUGGAAGUGUAAACCAAAUAAACCCUUUCCUCGCCAAGGUGCUUUGGUCACGGUGUCUCAGGAUAGGAACCCUGACUGGGACAAAACUCAGUACCAGCAUAGUGAGGUGUUGCUGUGACAGACCUGACCAUGUGUCUUUAGGAGGACUGUGGAAGGACUUUGGAAAUUGGGGUGUUCAAAGCUUUGGUGAGCUAUUCUGUGGAAGCUUGCACACAAAGGGUAUUGAGAGGGAUGCAGACGAUAGAGGCUUGGCUGCUGAAGUUUCAGAGGGAAGUUUGAAAGCCAUGUAAAGAUCAUCGGGGAGGCUGAAUCAAGAGUCAGUGGUUCUUGUCAGCUGGGGCUGAAGAAUCCGCAGUGAUAACAAGAUCCCGGCACCACCAAAAUAAAACCUUUGCUUUACUGGGACAACUGAUGUGGCCAGCUGGGGUUGUAAAAUUAGUGGUGAUUAAGAGACCAGCAUCACUGAGGUGCAGUCUUCUGGGAAGGGUUUCCUCAGGGUCAGCACACAGAAGCUGUGUUCAGAGGCAGCCAAGGUUACACCUCGUGCUGGCAGCUGAACUUGGUAGUGUAAGAGUCACCCAGGUGGUAUCAGUUUUGAAGGGAUGAAGGGGUCAUGGGGAGCAGCUGAGGCUCGGUACUAUGAGAGGCGAGGGAGGCCAUUGGUGAAGGUGCAGCCUCAGGGGCAGUUGAAGGUCCAGGACUGAAGGGGUCAUGAAGAGAAGUUGAGGCUUGGCACCACGAAGGGAGCCCAGAAGAGGCUACUGGCGAAAGUGUGGUCCAGUUGCUGCAAAGACCCCAGUGUUUUAGAGAUGCCAGUACCGUGGGAUGACCACCACGAACAGCAUUAGUGGUGGCAUGGGGGAGGGCCCAGCCCACUGUGGGUGGAGCCAUCCCUGGGCAGGUGGUCCUGGGUUCUAUAAGAAAACAGGCUGAGCAAGCCAGUGAGCAGCACCCCUCCAUGGCCUCUGCAUCAGCUCCUGCCUCCAGGUUCCUGUCCUGGUUGAGUUCCUGUCCUGACUUCCUUCAGUGAUGGACUACCGCGUGGAAGUGUACACAAAUAGACACUUUUCAGAGAAGUUGAGGCUUUGCACCAUAAAAAGAACCUUUGAGAGGCUAUUGGUGAAAGUGCAGCCCAGUUACAGCAGAGACCCCAGCAUUUUGGAGAUGCCAGUACCAAGGGACAGCCACCAAGGACAGGAGCAGCUGUGGAGUGGAGCCAGCCAGAGCCUAGAAGACAAGCUGUGUGUGCUGCAGAGAGCAGAGCCGGAGAAGUGACCCAAGUCCUUGGGAGGAGCCCAGAAGAUGGAGCAUGGAAGACGAGCAAGCCUCCCUGCAGACUGAAGAUAAAUUCCACUGGAAGGACACUGAGUCGAUGUGCCUCGCAAUCUCAUUGGCUCUAAACAUCAAAAGGUGGUUAUUUGACUAACUUAUUAUGCAGAUAGCAAGCUUCCUCAUGAUCACGAAACAUACCGUUUGAUUUAUGGAAAUGAAAUUUGCAUCUAACUUUUCAAAAUAUUGUUUUUAAAUUAUGGUGUGUGUUGGCGGGGUCUGUGCACACGAGGACAGGUGCUGGGGGAGCCAGAGGCACCGGCGCCCCUGGAGCUGGAGUUGUAAGUCCCUGGGAGGGGUGCCGGGAACUGAACUCGGAUCUUCUGAGAACUUCCUAACUGAGCCAUGCCCUCUAGCCCCAACUUUUUUUUGUUUUUGUUUUUAUUUUUUUGAAAGACAGGGUCUCAAUAUGUGGCCCACCCAGGCUGCAAACUUUCCCUCUUCCUGAUUCAGCCUCCCGAGUUCGGGAGUACACCUGUUAGCACCACAUCCGGCUGCAUCCGCCCUGUUGAGGUCUUAUUGGUUUGUUUUCUACAUUGCUUCCUGUGUGUGGGUUGGGGUGUUGGGCAUGCCUGCAGAGGCCAAAGGACAGCUUCAGGGAGUUGGUUCUCUCCUUCCACCGUGUACUGAACUCAAGUCAGGCUUGGUAGCAAACGCCCUUACCCACCGAAGCCACCUCAACCAGCCCAAAUUUACCUCUUUGAAAGUAUACUUAUUUAAUACAAAGAAGACCAAACCCACUCAGCUCACGUUCCUUGUUGCUCACACACGUACACACACCCCAACUUACUGGCCACAUAGACUCUCGAAUAUUAGUGGAUUGGUUUAAAUACUGGAAUAUAUUUCCCGUUAAAUCUUGACUCAGGGGCAUCAGUUCUGGAGUUUUCUCUUUAUAGUUGUUAACAUGAAUUUUGAUGGCACGAAAAAGCUUGUUCUCCGGAUUAUAUUUAGCUCAUACAAACUCCACUGCACAAUUCUGUUGUAAAGAGAAAUUAGACUUUCUCUUUACGUUGUUAUUAUAGCUUUGGGAAAAGGUGAAUGCAUAGACGGAACUACACAAAGCCGUAGCAUGCUGUGUUAUUAAUGUUGCUUUUUUUUUUUUUCUUUUCAGUUUAACAUGGUGUAGGGCCUACGACAGGCUGACGCGGUGUAGACAGGGUCUACAUAAGAAACAGGUGGCAUGCUCAAAUUGGAUGAUUAGAGGAGGGUUUAGUCAAGGGUCGAUUGACAAGGUUUGGGUAGGGUACAAGGGAACUCUAGGAUGGGUCCAGUGCCCAAGGAGCUAGAAAUAGCCUUCCCCAGUCUUAGAUGUGACGUCUAGGAAGAAGUUACAGAGCCCAGAAAGAGAGGGUUCUGGGGACCAGGCUCCUUUGGGGAGGGGGAGACCUGCUAUAUGAAGAUACCACCAACCUGAGGCACAUGUGGGAGGGAGGGAGCUGGGGGAAUUUAUACCUGGAGCUCGUUUAUACCCUUUCUGCCUGCUGCUCCCAAGGGCUGGAGGGUGAGGGAGCAGAGCCCCAGGGCAGAAAGCAGCAUGGAGGAGAGCGGGCAGGUGGAUCCCAUACUACAGGUUUAAUUUCCAUGUUGAAAAAAGGUGAUGGGGGCGGGGCACUACGGUGGCGCUAUGGGUAAAGUGGUUGCCGCCAAGCCUGAAGACCAGAGUUUGGUGGCUAGUGCCCUGAACACAUCACGGUGGAAGGAGAGAACCGACUUUAAUUUGUUUGUCCUUUGUCCUACACACACACUCAGACACACACACACACACACACACACACACACACACACACACACACACA